rnacentral:rRNA from 1 species
CCUACGGGAGGCAGCAGUGAGGAAUAUUGGUCAAUGGGCGAGAGCCUGAACCAGCCAAGUCGCGUGAAGGAUGACGGCCCUACGGGUUGUACACUUCUUUUGUCAGGGAGCAAUUGAGUCCACGUGUGGGCUUAGCGAGAGUACCUGAAGAAAAAGCAUCGGCUAACUCCGUGCCAGCAGCCGGGGUAAUAAGGGGGAUGCGAGCGUUAUCCGGAUUUAUUGGGUUUAAAGGGUGCGUAGGUGGAAUAUCAAGGCAGCGGUAAAAAUUCGGGGCUCAACCCCGUCGUGCCGUUGAAACUGAUGUUCUGGAGUGGGCGAGAAGUAUGCGGAAUGCGUGGUGUAGCGGUGAAAUGCAUAGAUAUCACGCAGAACUCCGAUUGCGAAGGCAGCAUACCGGCGCCCAACUGACGCUGAAGCACGAAAGCGUGGGUAUCGAACAGGAUUAGAUACCCCUGUAGUC